GCUCAUACAAACCAUCACAGCAGCCACCACGAAACAGAGUGGGUGGGGACAGAGGACGUGCAGGUGGUCCUGAUGCUUGGAGGGAAGACUAUACUUCUUCCGUCGCUGAUGGGACACUAAGACAGAGAGGGAUGUAUGCUCUGGGCGUAGAGAUCAUCCCCCAGAGUGGAAAGAGUGUGAACAGUUGACCGCUGCCUGGUCGUGGGAGACGAGGAGGUUGGAAGAUAGUGUGUGACGAAAGCGCCAGGCAGCUGUGGUUCCGUAACAGCGUGGUUGACAUGACAUGAGGGACCUGUGGAGGGCUUCCAGCAAGACUCGGUGACUGAGCAGGGGUAUACCUGUCGUGUUCUGCCUUUCCCAAUGUCUUCUCUCUUCACCUGUCUGUCAGACCCUCUUGCUGGUUCUGUCACCUCUUUGACCACAUGGCUCAGAGCAGGCCUGGGAGGGCCAGUCGCCAUGGGCGGCUCUGCUCCUCCGAUUCAUGGGGAUUGUGCCACGCAUGCGCCAAAUGAUCCAGUCCCUCUCUGAUUGCUGCCUGCCAGGCAUCGGAUUAAACAAGCUACUUCAUGACCUGCCCUUUACCCUGCCACUGUAGCUAACGGUUUCCCACUCUGUCAUCAUGUUAAUGGCUGUGUAAUAGUCCACAGAGCCGAAACUCUCUUACUGUUGAAAUCAUCCUUCAGCUGUUGAGCAUUUGACUUUUCUGUCGUGUGCUAUGACGGAUAGUGAGGCAAUGAAGAUCUCUGUACAGAA